rnacentral:ncRNA from 1 species
CUAAGUACAAUGACAAAGAAGAGUAGUUUUAGAUUCUUUUUAGAGAGGUUGUGGUUGGUGCAAACAACUAAGGGUUUAUAAUGAAUGGAGCUUUGGAGUGCGUUUUAUUUGUAAGGAGGGCUAAUAGCCAAAAAGGGUGGAACCGCGGAAGUAUGUUUUUCGUCCCUUUA